GUACUCCUGCUCCUGCUGGCCACUACAUCUGGUUACAAACAGGUCCAGAUAACCACCUGGAGGGUCACACUUAAGAGAAUCUGCAAUGUUAUGCAUAGUAUCUACAUGUUCCUCGAGGUAGUGCUGGACCUACUGGGUGAAAAUGACAGGUUUUGCCAGUACGACUGCAGUGAAGAAUCAAAGCCUUUUCCAUGCUAAAGAUAUAAUCCUUCCCAACCAAACGGAGAGUAUUCCCAUGGUUUGGUAUUCAACAGAAAAAUGACACUUCUUUCCUGACAAAGUGCUGAAACCAAAAUUACAGGUGUUAUGAUACCUGUGGUAAAAGCAAGAACAAUUUGACAAUGAGUUCUAAUACUGCCUCUCCAAGAUCUUCUGAGAUGCACAGAAGACUCUAGGCCUUGCUCAAAAUGUUCAGGAGAAGGAAGAUAGGAUGGAAACACAUCCCAAGUCCACAUCUCACUUUCUCACUCUAAAGCCUGUGCUC
rnacentral:lncRNA from 1 species